rnacentral:rRNA from 1 species
GAUCAAGUGAAAGAAGGGCAUUUGGUGGAUGCCUUGGCAUGCACAGGCGAUGAAGGACGUGAUACGCUGCGAAAAGCCGUGGGGAGCUGCGAAUGAGCUUUGAUCCAUGGAUCUCCGAAUGGGGCAACCCACCUUAGAUGCUUGGAAAAUCAUUUUGGUUGGCAUCUGGUCCCGAAGCCGUAAGGCUUCGCAAGGCCAGAGGCCGUCGCCGGUUAUCCGGCGUCAAGAAACCAAAGUGGUUUCCAAGCAUUGUUGAAAGGUAUCUUAUUCUGAAUACAUAGGGAUAAGAAGCGAACGCAGGGAACUGAAACAUCUAAGUACCUGCAGGAAAGGACAUCAACCGAGACUCCGCAAGUAGUGGCGAGCGAACGCGGACCAGGCCAGUGGCAAUGAGGAAUAAAGUGGAACGAUCUGGAAAGUUCGGCCGUAGCGGGUGACAGCCCCGUACACGUAGAACACUCAUUGUCCUUGAGUAAGGCGGGACACGUGAAAUCCUGUCUGAACAUGGGGAGACCACUCUCCAAGCCUAAGUACUCGUGCAUGACCGAUAGCGAACAAGUACCGUGAGGGAAAGGUGAAAAGCACCCCGACAAGGGGAGUGAAAUAGAACCUGAAACCGGAUGCCUACAAACAGUCGGAGCCCGCAAGGGUGACGGCGUACCUUUUGUAUAAUGGGUCAACGACUUAGUGUGGCAUGCAAGCUUAAGCCGGUAGGUGGAGGCGUAGCGAAAGCGAGUCUGAACAGGGCGCUUUAGUAUGUCGCAUUAGACCCGAAACCGAGUGAUCUAGCCAUGAGCAGGUUGAAGGUUGGGUAACACCAACUGGAGGACCGAACCCGCAUCUGUUGCAAUAGAUUGGGAUGACUUGUGGCUAGGGGUGAAAGGCCAAUCAAACUCGGAAAUAGCUGGUUCUCCGCGAAAACUAUUUAGGUAGUGCGUCGACCGAAUACCCUCGGGGGUAGAGCACUGGAUGGGCUAUGGGGACUCACCGUCUUACUGAUCCUAACCAAACUCCGAAUACCGAGGAGUACUAGUCGGCAGAC